UUGGAGGGCAAGUCUGGUGCCAGCAGCCGCGGUAAUUCCAGCUCCAAUAGCGUAUAUUAAAGUUGUUGCAGUUAAAAAGCUCGUAGUUGAAUUUCGAGAUCAGUACGCUGGUCGUGCCUCCGGUAUGCACUGGUGUCACUGGUUUCUCCCUUCUGAAGAACCGUCAUGCCAUUCAGUUGGUGUGGCGGGGAAUCAGGACUGUUACUUUGAAAAAAUUAGAGUGUUUAAAGCAGGCUCGCGCUUGAAUACAUUAGCAUGGAAUAAUGAAAUAGGACGUUUGACCCUAUUUUGUUGGCUUCUAGGAUCGACGUAAUGAUUAAUAGGGAUAGUUGGGGGCAUUAGUAUUCAAUUGUCAGAGGUGAAAUUCUUGGAUUUAUUGAAGACUAACUACUGCGAAAGCAUUUGCCAAGGAUGUUUUCAUUAAUCAAGAACGAAAGUUAGGGGAUCGAAGACGAUCAGAUACCGUCGUAGUCUUAACCAUAAACUAUGCCGACUAGGGAUCGGAUGAUGUUAACUUUUUAAUGACUCAUUCGGCGCCUUACGGGAAAC
rnacentral:rRNA from 1 species